AAUUAGUCCAGAUGGUAUAAUGAGUUUAUGUGUCUAUUUUAGCCCAUCAGAACAGGAGGGAUCAGAGCUCCCAUUUUCCUACUAGUUGUCUACAAUUAGGACAGCACAACCCGUGGAUGGAAACAGAGGAAUCCUAAAAGUAUUAUACCAAAUGCUAUCUCCAACUGACACUUCAGAAACAAGAUAACAGUCACAGGGGCAGAAGGUAAGGAACCAGACUCAACUGAUUAAUAAGCUACAAUCCCCUUUUAUCAUUAAUACCAGAAAAUCGAGAUAGCCUUUUUCCUUCAAUCCUCAGUUCCUUGUUUGCUUAAGUCACUUGAUGUCUUGCCACAGGAAGUCACUGUUUUCUGGCACAGACUCUUCUGAUGGAUGGAAAGAUGAUUACGUCUGCUCCACCUCACCCUUCAUGCACGCUGGGAAGACGGCGCUAUGCUUUUCUCCCAAGGAACCACCAAGCUCCUCACCGGGCUACCUCUGCUCCUUC
rnacentral:lncRNA from 1 species